CGGCAUGUGGCGUAGUUUGGUAGCGCGCCGCCAUGGGGUGGCGGAAGUCAGAGGUUCAAAUCCUCUCAUGCCGA
rnacentral:tRNA from 1 species